rnacentral:rRNA from 1 species
UACAGAGGGUGCUAGCGUUGUUCGGAAUCAUUGGGCGUAAAGGGCGUGUAGGCGGUUUGUUAAGUCAUGUGUGAAAUCCCUCGGCUCAACCGGGGAAGGACGCAUGAAACUGGCAAGCUAGAGUACCAAAGAGGGGGGUGGAAUUCCCGGUGUAGCGGUGAAAUGCGUAGAUAUCUGGAGGAAUACCGGUGGCGAAGGCGGCAUCCUGGACCGACAUUGACGCUGAACGGCGAAAGCUAGGGGAGCAAACGGG